AGGGCCUUUAGAUCCUCUGGCCUGACACCCUCAGGAAUAGAAGGAGAGAUGGUCUGGCAUGUGGGGCCUGAGCCCCGACUGCCUAGGUCCUUUCCCCCAGAUGAAUCAGAGCCUGUGGGGUCUGAACUGAAGGCCAUGUGGGAAUGGGAACAGAGGGAGGCUCUCCACUCACGGCUUCCGGAGCGCCACGAUGAAUUUGCUCUGGAGAAAGCUGCCUGGACCACCAGCACUACAAUUCAGCCCUGACCCAGCCUGGCAGAUGGCGGGUACUCACCCAUCGGAGUCCCUGGAUGCAGCUGGGGCGCCGGUGCUCGAACACUAGCUGGUAAGAGCAGCAGCGGGGACGGUGCAUUUUCUUCAGCACCAUAUUGAGCAGCGUGCCCUCCGGAACCACGUCCGGGAGACCUCCCACCUGCGGUGCCCCCACAGCUGGACUCUCCACCACAGCUGGGCCCAACUGCCAGUGGUUCUCAC
rnacentral:lncRNA from 1 species